AGUACCCUGCGGUGUUUGUGAUGCUCCCAACACGUUAUGAGCCAACAGUAUGACUUGGGGGGUUGGACAUCCCGGAGGGCGAUGCGAUAGCCGCAUUGACCGCUGAACACGGCCAGUGUAUUGGCAAGGCAGAGCCAGCCGGCAAAAUCCCCACCUGCGAGAGCAGGUUCAAACCAGUUGAGCACACGGCACGGCGGGGCACUC
rnacentral:other from 1 species